CAGUCGCCACGGGAAUACGGAGGGUGCAAGCGUUAAUCGGAAUUACUGGGCGUAAAGCGCACGCAGGCGGUCUGACAAGUCAGAUGUGAAAUCCCCGGGCUUAACCUGGGAACUGCAUUUGAAACUGUCAGGCUGGAGUCUUGUAGAGGGGGGUAGAAUUCCAGGUGUAGCGGUGAAAUGCGUAGAGAUCUGGAGGAAUACCGGUGGCGAAGGCGGCCCCCUGGACAAAGACUGACGCUCAGGUGCGAAAGCGUGGGGAGCAAACAGGAUUAGAGACCCCUGUAGUCCCUGUCUCUUAUAC
rnacentral:rRNA from 1 species